AUUGAACGCUGGCGGCAGGCCUAACACAUGCAAGUCGAGCGAGCGGCGGACGGGUGAGUAAUGUAUGGGGACUGCCCGAUAGAGGGGGAUAACUACUGGAAACGGUAGCUAAUACCGCAUACUAUCGGAUAACCCAUAUGGGAUUAGCUAGUAGGUGAGGUAAUGGCUCACCUAGGCGACGAUCCCUAGCUGGUUUGAGAGGACGACCAGCCCCUGUGGGAGUGAGCCAGGGCCCAGACUCCUGCGGCGGCAGGAGUGGGGAAUUUUGGACGAAGGUGGCAACCCUGAUCCAGCCGUCCCGCGUGUAUGAUGAAGGCCUUCGGGUUGUCUAGUACUUUUCGCAGAGAAGCGGUAUCUGCAGAAUAAGCACCGGCUAACUACGUGCCAGCAGCCGCGGUAUAC
rnacentral:rRNA from 1 species